rnacentral:rRNA from 1 species
AACGAACGCUGGCGGCAGGCCUAACACAUGCAAGUCGAGCGGACAUCUUCGGAUGUUAGCGGCGGACGGGUGAGUAACGCGUGGGAACGUGCCCUUUGCUUCGGAAUAGCCUCGGGAAACUGGGAGUAAUACCGGAUGUACCCUUUGGGGGAAAGAUUUAUCGGCAAAGGAUCGGCCCGCGUUGGAUUAGGUAGUUGGUGGGGUAAUGGCCUACCAAGCCGACGAUCCAUAGCUGGUUUGAGAGGAUGAUCAGCCACACUGGGACUGAGACACGGCCCAGACUCCUACGGGAGGCAGCAGUGGGGAAUCCUAGACAAUGGGGGAAACCCUGAUCUAGCCAUGCCGCGUGAGCGAUGAAGGCCUUAGGGUUGUAAAGCUCUUUCACCGGGGAAGAUAAUGACGGUACCCGGAGAAGAAGCCCCGGCUAACUCCGUG